rnacentral:lncRNA from 1 species
GUGCAUGCCUCUAGUCCAGCUAUUUGGGAGGCUGAGGUGGAAGGAUCCUUGAGGCCAGGAGUUCAAAGUUAUGUUGAGCUCUGAUGACGCCACUGCACUCCAGCCCAAAUGACAGAGUGAGACCCUGUCUCCAAAAAAGAAAACAAAGAAAGGAAACAACAACAACACUUUCUUUGCUCAUCUAUAAGAAGCAACUCCUGGCUGGCAAGAUGACUUAUGCCUGUAAUCCCAGCACUGUGACCGGCUGAGGCAGGUGGCUCACUUGAGCUCAGGAGUUCAAGACCAGCCUGAGCAACAUGGUGAAACCUCAUCUCUACUAAAAAUACAAAAAAUUAGCCGGGCGUGGUGAUGUGCACCGGUAGUCCCAGCUACUCAGGAGGUUGAGGUGG